GCAGCUAUACGGUGAAACUGCGAAUGGCUCAUUAAAUCAGUUAUCGUUUAUUUGAUAGUACCUUACUACUUGGAUAACCGUGGUAAUUCUAGAGCUAAUACAUGCUAAAAACCCCGACUUCGGAAGGGGUGUAUUUAUUAGAUAAAAAACCAAUGCCCUUCGGGGCUCUUUGGUGAUUCAUAAUAACUUAACGAAUCGCAUGGCCUUGUGCCGGCGAUGGUUCAUUCAAAUUUCUGCCCUAUCAACUUUCGAUGGUAGGAUAGUGGCCUACCAUGGUUUCAACGGGUAACGGGGAAUUAGGGUUCUAUUCCGGAGAGGGAGCCUGAGAAACGGCUACCACAUCCAAGGAAGGCAGCAGGCGCGCAAAUUACCCAAUCCCGACACGGGGAGGUAGUGACAAUAAAUACUGAUACAGGGCUCUUUUGGGUCUUGUAAUUGGAAUGAGUACAAUUUAAAUCCCUUAACGAGGAACAAUUGGAGGGCAAGUCUGGUGCCAGCAGCCGCGGUAAUUCCAGCUCCAAUAGCGUAUAUUAAAGUUGUUGCAGUUAAAAAGCUCGUAGUUGAACCUUGGGCCUGGCUGGCCGGUCCGCCUCACCGCGUGCACUGGUCCGGCCGGGCCUUUCCUUCUGGGGAGCCGCAUGCCCUUCACUGGGUGUGUCGGGGAACCAGGACUUUUACUUUGAAAAAAUUAGAGUGUUCAAAGCAGGCCUAUGCUCGAAUACAUUAGCAUGGAAUAAUAGAAUAGGACGUGUGGUUCUAUUUUGUUGGUUUCUAGGACCGCCGUAAUGAUUAAUAGGGAUAGUCGGGGGCAUCAGUAUUCCGUUGUCAGAGGUGAAAUUCUUGGAUUUACGGAAGACUAACUACUGCGAAAGCAUUUGCCAAGGAUGUUUUCAUUAAUCAGUGAACGAAAGUUAGGGGAUCGAAGACGAUCAGAUACCGUCGUAGUCUUAACCAUAAACUAUGCCGACUAGGGAUCGGGCGAUGUUAUCUUUUUGACUCGCUCGGCACCCUUACGAGAAAUCAAAGUCUUUGG
rnacentral:rRNA from 1 species